rnacentral:rRNA from 1 species
AGAAUCAACGCUGGCGGCGUGCCUAACACAUGCAAGUCGAACGAGAAAGUGGAGCAAUCCAUGAGUAAAGUGGCGCACGGGUGAGUAACACGUGACUAACCUACCCUUGAGUGGGGGAUAAACCUAGGGAAACCUGGGCUAAUACCGCAUAAUACCUUCGGGUCAAAGGAGCAAUUCGCUUAAGGAGGGGUCGCGGCAGAUUAGUUAGUUGGCGGGGUAAUGGCCCACCAAGACAGUGAUCUGUA